AUCAUUAGGACGAUAGAGUUAUUAUCGAUAUCUAAUUAAUAUUGAUAAUUAGAACACGGUAGGCACCUGUCUUUAAUUACGGUUUAUAUUUAGUAACAUAUCGUUGUCUAGGUAACGUGUGUAUGUAUAUAUAUUGAUAGAUUUUCCAUCAAUCUCUUAUUCUCCUGCUGUACGUGAAAACUGGAUUUUUAAAAAGUUGAGGUUGAAGUAACCCGACACGCCCAUCCGAUGACCUCUGAACCCAACGAUAACUGACGUAUAAGUUAAUAUCAAGAUGGCGGAGUUUGACAGUUUACGAGCUGCUGUGACUGCGAACAACCUACUGAAGGUGGAAGAAAUUCUCGGGGAUCUUGACCAACAAUUCAAAGAUAAGCCAAACAGGAAUGAAUAUCUUAACCAGAGAAAGGCCCUUUGCUUUGAAGCUUUGAACCGUAAAAAUCUUCCUCUACUUAAGUUGGUUUUUCAUGGUGAAAUUUUUAUAAUGGGCAGGGAAUUUGAUCGGGAUGCCAACAUCGAGAUGUUAAAUGCUGCCAUUGCUGGAGAUUAUGCAGAAGGCGUCCAGUUUUUAAACGAACAACGACUGUCCCUUGAAUAUGAGGAAAGGGGCUGGAGUGCAUUGCAGGAAGCCACUAGCAAGAACAAAACAGCAGUUAUUAAAUUCUUGUUUUCACUACCAUAUUUAAACAUCAACUUGAAUCCCGAGGAAACGUUGCUAAUGACAGCCUGUAGCAGACGCCAUGUUGAAAUCCUGAAUCUUCUAUUGAGCAACAACAGAAUUAAAGAAACCAUUAAUGUGACGUCAUCUAAAGAUGGUGGAACGGCUCUACAUCGAUGCUUUGAAGGCGCAAUUCAACCAGAUGAUGCUUCGGUCCUGGCUUGUGUAAAAGCCCUGGUCCAAGCUGGCGCAGAUGUUAAUCUUCCCGCUAAAUCUACCAACAAGACGCCAUAUGCAUUGGCGAAUGAAAAGGGCCAGAAACAAGCUGCUCAAUAUCUGAAAGACAACGGGGCUAAUUAAAGCCUUGAUUUUUUUAUAUUUUAUAUAUUAAUAAUUCUUAUAAUAUAAUUGACAUUAGAUCAUUAGCAAUAUUUAUUACACAGCGAAUCUCAAUCCUUCUCCAUUAUACUAAUAAUUAUCUUAGGGAAUGCUCGAUUGCACGUUCCGGAAUCGAAUUCUGUCAAACCCAAAAAUAGUGACAAUCGAGUGAAAAAUGGGAAUUUGGAGCUAGAACGCAUGCGCUGACUGCGUAAGAAAAUAUAUCAACCAACCAUGACAGCUGAAACAUAUUCGGUGUGCUUAAAUACGUCACGAUUCUACUCGCACUACCUCCGUUGUCGUGGCUGACAGAACUGUGACAUGACUGAAUUCCGCGUCACACGUUUGCAAUUCGGUCAAUUCCUGCCUGACAAUCGAGCAUCCACGUCGACCACAUGACAAGCCCAGGACUCUCUGACACCUUUUUGUAAUGAUGUGGUAUUUUAUUUCAUUAUGUUCCAAUUACUAUGGGGGUGCUGGAUUGUCAGUCCGGAACGUCCCGAAUUGACAGAAUUGAAGUCAAGUGAUACGAAAUUCAGUCCUGUCACAGUUCUGUCAAAUCCCGAGUAGAAUCGUGACGUUUUUUAAGUAACAAAUAUGUUUCAACUGCCAUGAUUGGUUGAGAUAUUUUUUAUGCAGUCGGCACAUGAGUUGUACUCCGAAAUUCUUCUUUUCAUUCGACUGACACUAUUUUUGGAAUUGAGAGAAUUUAAUUCCGGAAUGUUAAAUCGAGUACCCCCUAAAAGCCAUUCAAAGAAUGAUGCAGGAUUAUUUGUUAAAACCAUUGUUCAAAAAUCUUUAAAAUUUGUGUCGUUAUAAUAAUAUUAUGAAUUAUCUCCCUUUAAUCAUAAUUGGCGUACAUAGCAACAACUAUGUUCCUUCGCAAAUUGAACCUCAAUAUCUAGGCUAGGAUGAUUUUUGCGCUGCUUUGGUUAGAAUAAAGGUAAUCAUAUUAUGCCAUUCUCGGAAACCUGUCACCUCUGGUUAAGGAGAAUACCCUGGUUUGUCUUUGUGGGCAUAGUUGUGCAAAAUCAUACCUCCGACCAUGUGACGGCUGAGUGGCCUUGCUGUUAUAGCUUGGUUUUAUUAGAGGACUAUUAAAAAACACCCCAACCAACACCCACGAGUUUAGUGCUAAAUGAUAAGGCCAGCUCAAUUUUUCGUCAUACGUCAGGAGAUGUAAACACGGCUAGCGCUAAUCCUGGACCUAGCCCUAACCUACAAUCUUGCCAACAAUCUCAGCGACCUUGACAAAAAUUGAGCUGUCCUUAACAAAUAUAUUUAGCCCAACACCCAGAGUCUAUUAGUGUACACUAGAGACACAGGCUAUCAUACAAUUGUUAAUGAUUUACCCAAUCUGGUUAAAACACAGAUCCUAUUUCGUUUCGUUUUUAUAGUUCAAAAUUUCGUUUUACUUAUCUUUACUACACUAGGACCUAGAAGAGUUGUUAUCAUUGACGUGUUCUGAAUGAUGUGAAGGAAUAGCCAAUGAAACGGUCUGUUACGGCGAGCUUUGCACGGAACUGUGGGUAAUCCACUAGUAACAUCAAUGCUGAUUGGUUAAUCAAAUGUCUGACGUCAUAGGGUCAAAAGCCGCUCGUAUGACCUUUGACGAGAACUAUUGCUACAACCGGUCAGAUCUUCAUGUAGUGUAGGCUAUCGAAAGUAUAAAAAAAAACGAAACGAAAUAUAGAUGUGUAUUUUAAUCAGAUUAUGAUUUACCAGUUUAUAUUCUAUGCAAUAUUUUAGACGCAAUUAGAGAGCAAUUUAACUAUGUUUUUUUUCUCUGUAAACUAUUUAAUAUUUACAUGUAUAUACUAUUGAUGUUGUUAACUGACCAAUAUUUAAUAUAUUUUUGAUGUUGUUAACUGACCAAUAUUUAAAUUGUUUAUCUUUAUAAUUAGUUAAGUUUUAUGAUAAAAUAAUUUACUAUAUAUUAACUUGAAAUGCUGAUAUGGGACAAGGUACGGGGAUAAAAUGAGAUCGGAGGAAAUGACGUGACAGAAUGAGUUCACGUAACGGGACAUGACAUAACAGAACGAGUUAACGUAAAGGAACGUGACGUGAUAGAACGAGUUAACGAAAGGAACGUGACGUGACAGAACGAGUUAACGUAAUAGAACGUGACGUGAUAGGAUGAGUUGACGCAACAGAGCGUGAUGUGAUAGGACGAGUUAACGUAACAGAAUGUGACGUGAUAGAAUGAGUUAACGUAACGGAACGUGGCACGAUAAAAUGUGUUAACGUGGCGGGAUAGAACGAUUUAACGUAAAUUUACGAAUUUCAAUUUCAAAUGUACAAGAAAGCUGUCUUAGUAAUCUGAAUUACUUAAACCACGUGUACAAGAAAGUCACGUUAUAAUGUACAAGAAAGCGGUAUUAGUGGGAUCAGCAAUAUUUCUGCUCAGUUUUUUUUAAUAAUUUUAUCUUUUUAUGAAAUGUAGAUUAAAUGUUAUCUUUUAAUUCACUUUGUUGAUAAAAUAAUCCAUGAGCUAA